GAAAAAAGAAAAAAAGGGGGGGAGUGGGGAUAUGGGGCAAAAGGGAAGUUUCGAUUCAGACUGUGUCAACCACUUAGUUAUGCCAGGUGCCUCAGUUUUGGAGCUCUUACGCAACUCCCAGUUUGACCUUUGGAGUUUGUUUUCUGAAACCAAUUAAAUUCUUCAAAAAGAGUACAAUGUCCUAGGCAAAACAAUCUUAGAUCUUACUAGUUUAUCUAGGUCAUCGUUUGACUAAAACAUGGUUUUUAGGAACCAGUUUUUUCAAGGCUCGAGGUUCAAAAGGACACCUAAGGGCAAUGGCCUGCCUAGGUUACCCCAACUUCCAUGAAAGCCUGGAUUAAUUAAGUUUCUCAAGAGUUAGAACAGUUACUGACAAAAUACCAACAAAGAAGUUAUCUGCUUUUUAUUAUUACCAUGUGCAGGAGAUUAUAUAUAAUGUCAAAGAUUAAAAUAAUCGGGGUGGGAGGGCUGAGAUCUUGAUCUACCACCGAUUUCCAUAGCUACUGUCUUGUUUCAAUAAUAUAUAUGUAAGCGCUGCUCCAACUGGACAAAUCGAUAAUAAUACACAUUGAGUAAGCACUUAAAAUCUGAGGCACUUAGUUUGUAGAGCCCUGGUGGUGUAGUAGCUUAAGAACUCAGCUGUUAACCAAAAGGUCCACAGUUCUAAUCCACUAGUCACUCCAUGGAAGCCCUGUGGGACAGUUCUACUUUGUCCUAAAACGUCACUAUGAGUCGUACUUGAUGGCAACAGGUUUUGUUUUGGUUUUAGUUUGUAGAAAGUUGAGGCUUACAGCUAGAGCCCUGACUCCAUCCUGAGCUUUGGUGUAAAAUCCAGAUUCCAUUUUACUGCUUGUUCGGUUACUUUUCAAUGCUUGUUGACGUAACAGAGGCUUCUGCCUGAAGUACAGGCCAGAAUUGGUCUUGGCCCCUUAGCUAUUGCCCAGAACCUAGUUCUGCUUUACUGAUCCUAGAAAAUGUUUUAUGACUUGUUCCAAGGAAACUCUUACUAAAACUUAUGGUCUCUUAUAAAGUAUCGACCAAUCAAAAAAAAAAAAUUUAUAGUUUUAUCCUGCAAGCUACUUAACAUGUUUUAGUAUAUUCAUAGUCUUUUCCAUAAUUCCUAUUAAUAUGCAUAGCUUUUACUGUAACUGUUUAACAUAGAUCCAAUCAGAAUGUGAUUAUCACAAGAUAUUCAUUAACUUUCCUGUAAAUGCUUAACGUAUGGUUUAGUUCCUCUUUUUACCCUAUGUGGAUGUUUCUGUAAUUGUAAUGCCUCGGACUGCUUUGGAACCCUGGUAGUGUAGUGGUUAAGAACUCGUCUGCUAACCAAAGGGUGGGCAAUGUGAAUCCUUGGAAACCCUAUGGGACAGUACUACUCUGUCGUAUAGGGUCGCUAUGAGUUGGAAUCCACUCGAUGGCAACAGACAGUGCCGGAGUUUUCCUGCUAGUUCACAACAUGUAAGCAUUGAUUCAACUGGACAAAUUCGUAGAAAGAAAAAUUCAACCUUUGAAGAAAUUUUUGGUGAUUUUAUUCAAUCACACCGGGAUGCACAAAUCAGGCAGCAACCCAAAGUGACUGGGAGCUCCAUCCCCUGGAACCCAAGGGGAGUGCUUUUAUCAGGCAAGGAGAGUAUGGAAUUUUCUUCUUUGACAUAUCACAACAGAUUGAAUCUAGAAGCACAUAUGAGGAUCUAGCUGUCUUCCACUUGGCUAGACAUCAAAGAGAUUUGCAAAAAUGUAAAACAAUGCCACCCUUCUCAAUGAAUUUUUUUGUUUGUUUGUUUGGAAAUUAUAGUUAUUUUUCCCAAACAGGUUAUUAUUGUUAUUUUAAAAUUAGUUAAAAAUAAAUAUUUAAAGUUCUUAGUUUUAAUUUCUGGUACAUUUUGACGGCACCUAACAGUAAGUAUUGAUACACAUAAGCAAAAAUUCGUUUCAGUUCUCAAUAAUUUUUAAGAGUAUAAAUAGGUCAUGGGCCCAAAAUGUUUGUGAACCGAUGCUAAAUCAAUAUUUACUUUUGUUGCAUGACACUCCCGCAUCCACCAUAAGUGAUAGAUUUUCUGUUGAGUUUUUUUCCAUUCUAGGUAAAGAAAAUAAGCUUUUCCAUACAUUACUGCUGCAUCUGUCUUUAACAACUUUUACCUCUGUUUCAUGUUAAUCCAAAAGUCUUAAUUAAUUGAUAUGUGCUUUAAGAGGAAAAUACAGAUUAGAUUUUGAAGACUUAGUACAAAAAAAAAAAUUGCCUUACUUGUUGAAAUGAUGUUUUUGAUAUAUUGAGUUAAAUAAAAUACAUUAUAAAUAAUUUUUACCUUUUUUUUUUACUUUUUAAAUGUUGCUACUAGAAAAUUCAAAAUUCUAUACAUGACUCUUGUCUUAGGCUAUAUUGUUUAGUGGAGCAAAACUAGUGAAGCGUGUAUAUAUAAAGAGAGAGAGAUUUACUUCAAAGAAGUGGUUCCUGCAGUUGUGGAAGCUGGUAAAUCCCAAAUCCGUUGGUCAGACAUGAGGCUGGAAACUUCUCCAGACUCAGGUGGUUGCAGGAACUGACAAACCCAAAAUCUGCAGGUCAGACAGCAUUCUGCUGGCUCAUGUCCCAAGAACUGGAGGUUAGAGGAUGAUGAGUCAGAUGCAGGAUCCAGAGAGAGCGAGCUUUGCCAGAACAUCCAUGUAUAUAUUGGAUGCAGGCCACACCCCCAGGAAAACUUCCCUUUCCUUGGAUGAUUGGCUCUGGCUUGCUGAUCUGGUUGAAUUUUAAUCUUAUUAGGUGCUCACAACAGAACACAAAGUGGAAGAUGAUUGCAAAUUAUUUUCCAAAACACUGACAAGCAUGGCUUAGCCAUGUUGACACACAACUUUAACCAUCACACUCUACAUCUUGUCAACUUGGCACCUGUACACAUCUUAAACCAUACACAAUCUCUAAAUAAAGACAAUUAUAAAGUCAUACUUGUGCCUAACACUUACUGAAAGUGAAGAGGACUUGAAACACUUACUGAUGAAGAUAAAAGACCACAGCCUUCAGUAUGGAUUAUACCUCAACAUAAAAAAAAAAACAAAAAUCCUCACAACUGGACCAAUAAGCAACAUGAUAAUAAACGGAGAAAAGAUAGAAGUUGUCAAGGAUUUCAUUUUACUUGGAUCCACAAUCAAUACCAAUGGACUCAGCAGUCAAGAAAUCAAAAGGCUCAUUGUGUUGGGCAAAUCUGCUGCAAAAGACCUCUUUAAAGUGUUGCAAAGCAAAGGUGUCACCUUGAAGACUAAGGUGCACCUGACCCAAGCCAUGGUAUUUUCAGUCACAUCAUAUGCAUGCAAAAGCUGGACGAUAAAUAAGGAAAACCAAAGAAGAAUUGAUGGCUUUGAAUUGUGGCGGUGGUGAAGAAUAUUGAAUAUACCAUGAACUACCAAAGAAAGGAACAAAUCUGUCUUGGAAGAAGUAUAAGCAGAAUGAUCCUUAGAAGCAAGAAUGAGUCUACAUCUCACAUGCUUUGGACAUGUUAUCAGAAGGGAUCAGUUCCUGGAGAAGGACAUUAUGCUUAGUAAAGUAAAUGGUCAGUGAAAAAGAGGUCGACCCUCAAUGAAAUGGACUGACACAGUGAGUGCAGCAAUGGGCUCAAGCAUAACAACGAUUGUGAACAUGAUGCGGGACUGGGGAGUGUUUUGUUCUGUAGUACCUAGGGUCUCUAUGAGUCAGAACUGACUUGAGGGUACCUAACAACACAACAGCAACAGCACUUGUGCCUAAGAUGAUACAACUAACAUGUGUAAACUGAAAAUGCACUAGCCACAUUUACAUCUUAUAUUUUAAAACUAUGAUAUUUGCUAUAUGUUCUUGUUGUUAAGUGCCAUCAAAAGGUUCUGAUUCAUAGUGACCCUACGGACAACAGAAUAAAACAACAUCCAAUCUUCAGCCCAUUUUGCAGCCACUGUGAUAACCCAUCUUCAUGAGUGUCUUCCUUUUUUUCUCUGACCCUCUACCAAGCAUGACAUGUGUCUUAGUUAUCUAGUGCUGCUAUAACAGAAAUACCACAAGUGGAUGGCUUUAACAAAGAGAAGUUUAUUUCCUCAUAGUAAAGUAGGCUAAAAGUCCAAACUCAGGGUGUUGGCUCCAGCGGAAGGCUUUCUGUGUGUGUAGGCCCUCUCAUCAGUGUGCCCCGGACUAGGAGCUUCUCUGUGCAGGGGCCCCAGGUCCAAAGGACAUCCUCUGCUCUUGGCACUGCUUUCUUGGUUGUAUGAGGUACCCUGUCUCUCUGCUUGCUUCUCUCGUUUAUAUCUCAAGAGAUUGCCUCAAGACAUAAUCCAAUCUUGUAGAUUGAGUCCUGCCUCACUAACACAACUGCUGCUCAUCCUCCUUCCUUAACAUCGUAGAGGCAGAAUUUACAACAUAUAGGAAAAUCACUCAAUACCAGGAAUCAUGGCCCAGCCAAACUGAUGCACAAAUUUUGGGGAGGACAUAAUUCAAUCCAUGACAUUCCACCCUCUGGCCCCCCCCAAAAUCACAUCCUUGCAACAUACAAAAUAUAUUCACUGCAUCAUAGCAAAAGUCUUAACUCCAAGUCCAAAAUCCAAAAAUUCCUCUUCAUCUGUAAAAUCUAGAAUACGAAUUAUCUGGUUCCAAAGGUACUGUGGCAGAACAGGCAUAAGCUAUACAUCUCCAUCACAAAUGGGAGAAACUUUUGAGACUGAGGCAGCUUGGCUUUUUGUGUUCCUUUUCUCUUCAGCUCCUGCUUUCUGUUUUUUUAGCCCCUCGGCUUCUCGGGCCUCACACCCAAAUCUGCCCAUAUGUCCCCAUUCCAAGUUUCAGUAUCCUAUUUCUUCCCAGUCAGUGCCCUCACUUUACCUUCAGACACCUUUCGAGGUUAGCAAUUGAGCUGGCAUUGUAAUUCAGCCACUCUUAACAAUUGGUAUUCCGUCAAUUCCUGGAGCCUUGUUUUUUCACCAAUACCUUCAGUACUGCUUGGACAUCUUCCUUAAAUACCAUCCGUUCUUGAUCAUAUGCUACCUUCUGAAAUGGCUGAAUAUCAACCAAUUAUUUUUGGUACAGUGACUCUGUAUUCCUUCCAACUUCUUUUGAUGCUGCCUGCAUUGCCUUUAGAUCCUUCAAAAUGGCAACUUGAGGCUUGAAUUUUUUCUUCAGUUCUUUCAGCUUGAGAAAUGCUGAGCAUGUUCUUCCCUUUUGUUUUUCUAACUCCAGGUUUUUGCACAUUUCGUUAUAAUACUUUAUCUUCCUUAGCUGCCCUUUGAAAUCUUUUGUUCAGCCAUUUUAGUUCAUUUCUUCCAUUUGCUUUAGCUACUCUGCAUUCAAGAGCAAAUUUCAGAGUCUCUUCUGACAUCCAUUUUGGACUUUUCACUCUUUGCUGUCUUUUUAAUGACCUUUUGCUUUCUUCAUGUAUGAUGUCCUUGAUACCAUCCCAUAACUUGUCUGUCCUCGGUCAUUAGUGUACAAAGCGACAAAACUAUUCUUGAGGUGAUCUCUAAAUUCAGGUAGGGUACACUCAAGGUCAUACUUUGGCUCUUAUGGACUCGUUUUAAUUUUCUUCAGCUUCAACUUGAACUUCCAUAUGAGCAAUUGACAGUCUGUUCCUCAGUUGGCUCCUGACCUUGUUCUGACUGAUGAUAUUGAGCUUCUCCAUCAUCUCUUUCCACAGAUAUAGUUCAACUGACUCCUGUUUGCUCCAUUGUCUUAGUGUUCUAGUGCUGCUGUAACAGAAAUACCGCAAGUAGAUGGCUUUAACAAAAAGAAAUUUAUAUUCUCACAGCCUAGUAGCCUAGAAGUCCAAAUUCAGGGUGUCAGCUCCAGGGGAAGGCUUUCUCUCUCUGUUGACUCUGAAGGAAGGUCCUUCUUAUCAGUCUUCCCCUGGACUAAGAGGUUCUCCAUACAGGAACGUUGGGUCAAAGGACACGCUCUGCUCCUGGCACUGCUUUCUCGGUGGUGUAAGGUCCCCAAUUCUCUGCUUGUUUCCUUUUCCUUGUAUCUCUUGUAAGAUAAAAGUGGUGCAGGCCACACCCCAGGGAAACUCCUUUUAUAUUGGAUCAGGGAUGUGACCUGAGCAAGGGUGUUACAUCCCACCCGAAUUCUCUUUAACCACAGGCAGAGAUUAUGAUUUAUAACACAUAGGAAAAUCACAAAAUGGAGGGCAACCACACAGUACUGGGAAUCAUGGCCUCAGCAAGUUCACACAUAUGGGGGGGACAUAGUUCAAUCCGUGUCAUUCAUCCAGUGAGGUCCAUGUGUAUCGUCACCAUUUAUGUUGUUGAAAAAAGGUAUUUGCAGUGAAUAAGUCAUUGGUCUUGCAAAAUUCUAUCCUGCAAUCUCCAGUGUCAUUUCUAUUGUCUAGGUCAUAUUUUCCAUCUAUUGAUCCUCCUUUGUUUCAACUUUCACAUUCCAAUCUCCAGUAAUUAUCAAUGCAUCUUGAUUGCACAUUUGAUCAGUUUUAGACUGCCACAAGUUGAUAAACAUCUUCAAUGUCUUCAUCUUUGGCAUUAGUGCUUAGUACGUAAAUUUGAAUAAUAGUUGUGUAAAGUGGUCUUUCUCAUAGGCAUAUAGGUAUUAUCCUGUCACUGGUGGCUUUGUACUUCAGGGUAGAUCUUGAAACAUUCUUUCUGAUGCUGAAUGCAAUGCCAUUCUUCAAUUCAUCAUUCCUGGCAUAGUAGACUAUAUGAUUUUCUGAUUCAAAAUGGACAAUAGAUUUCCGUUUCAGCCCACUAUUGCCUAGGAUAUUGAUCUUUAUGCUUUACAUUUCUUUUUUGAUGACUUCCAAUUUUCCUAGAUCUUUAUACUAUGUACAUUCCACGUUCCAAUUAUUAAUGAAUGUUUGCAGCUGUUUCUUCUCAUUUUGAGUCAUGCCACAUCAGCAAAUGAAGGUCUCAAAAGCUUUAUUCCAUCCACGUCUUUAAUUAAGGUCAACUCUACUUUGAGGAGGCUGUUCUUCCUCAGUUGUAUUUUGAGUGCCUUCCAACCUGAGGGGCUCAUCAGACACUAUUUCAAACAAUGUUCUACUACUAUUCAUACUGUUUUCACUGGCCAAUGGUUUUAGAAGUAGAUCACAAGAUUCCUAGUCUGACUUCUCCUGGAAGCUCUGUUGAAACCUGUCCACUAUGAAUGACCCUGCUGGUAUUUAAAUACCUAUGGCAUAGCUUCCAGCAUCACAGCAACAUUUUAUGUGAUUUUCCUCUAUAUUGUAAAUCCUAUCACUAUGAUGUAAUAAGAUGGAUUAAUGGCAAUUAUAUUGAUGAGGUCUACAAGGUUAGGUAGCGUCUUAAGCCAAUCUCUUUUGAGAUAUAAAAGCGAGAAGCAAGUGGGCAGACAUGGGAACCUCAUACCACCAAGAAAGCAGUGCUGGGAGCAAAGUGCAUCCUUUGCACCUGAGGUUCCUGUGCUGAGAUGUUUCCAGACCAAGGGAAGACUGAGGACAAGGACCUUCCUCCAGAGCCGACAGAGAGAAAAAUACUUCCUGUGGAGCUGGUGCCCUGAAUUAGGACUUCUAGUGUAGUGGACUGUGAGAGAAUAAAUUUCUCUUUGUUAGAGCCGUCCACUUGUGUUAUUUCUGUUAUAGCAGCACUAGAUGACUAAAACAUACCCAUUCCAUAUUUCCUUUGCACUCAGCAAGCACUUCAGCUGGUCAUGGUUCUUUGCCUGGUUGGGUGAUCCAUACCUUCAUUCCUGAAAUGUCUAGGCCAUUAGUAGUCAUGUUGAAAUUGAGUUGCUGUAGUUUUCCAUUCACUUUAAUCAUCAGAGAUGGUAGUAUUGAGACAUCUUAAGUGAUCUCCUGUAUUCCAGACAUACUGUUCUUUGUAUCUGUUAUGUAAUAUCAAUACAAUUUCCACUUGGUAUUCAGGAUGAAUCAGGCCAGCCAAUACAGUAACUCUUCUUGGCCUGUUGAUCUAGAGACAUGGGAAGCCCAAAGUAGGCAGGUGGCAUUCUUAACUUUCAGUUCAACGGAAUCAGUGUCGUGUCUUUUGGUAGGGACAUUCCUCCCUUUGGAACUAAGACCUCUAGACUUGCAGAUCAUAGAGUCAUGGGGACAGGAAGCAAAAAUUUUACAAGUGGGUCACUAGGGGUAAUAGUGAGUGGUGCCACUCCUACUUCCACCCUUUGAUUUCUGGACCCAUGAAUCCUGCUUAUGGGAGAAACAACACCAUGUAUUGGACACUGUUUUUUUUUUUUUAGCAUAUACAGCCUCUGGAGAACAUUGCCCCACCCCUGCAAUGUAUUGCCAACUAGCUGACACCAUAAUUGUGCCUUUAGAAGGUCAUUCCACUGUUCUGUCAAGCCAGCUGCUUCAGGAUGAUGGAGAACAUGGUAGACCAGUAAAUUCCAUGAGUAUGGGGCCAUUGCCAUGUUUCAUUUGCUGUAAAGUGAGUUCCUUGAUCCAAGGCAAUGCUCCAUGGGAUACCAUGAUGGUGGGUGAGUCAUUCUGUAAGUCCAUGGAUGAUAGUUUUGGCAGAAGCAUUGAGUGCAGGGAAGCCAAAUCCGUAUCCAGAGUGUCUAUUCCACUAAGAACAAAAUGCUGCCAUUUCCAUGAUGGAAGUGGUCCAAAGGAAUCAACCUGCGUGGUUGCUGGCUGAUCACCUCAAGGAAUGGUGCCAUACUGAGGACUUAGUGUUGAUUUCUGCUGCUAGCAGAUUGAGCACUCAGCAGUGGCUAUAGGCAAGUCAGUGUUGGUGAGUGGAAGUCUUUGUUGCUGAGCACAUGCAUAACAACACGCUCUACAACCAUGGCCACUUUGUUCAUGAGCUCACUGGGCUAUUACAGAAGCGUCUGAGGAAAGAGGCUGACUGGUAUCCUCAGAACAUUUCAUCUUAUCCACUUGAUUAUUAAAAUCCUCCUCUGCCAAGGUCACCCUUUGGUGAGCAUUCAUGUGAGACACAAAUAUCUUCAAUUCUUUGGCCCAUUCAGGGAGGAUUAUCCCCAUGUCUCUUACCCAUACCUCUUUGUCACCAAUUUUCCAAUCAUAUUCCUUCCAAGUCCCGGAUCAUCCAGCUAAACCAUUGGUCACAGCCUAUGAAUCAGUAUACAAUCACACAUUUAGCUAUCUUUCCUUCCAAGGAAAAUGAAUAACCAUUUGCACUGCUUGAAAUUCUGCCCACUGGGAGGAUUUCCCUUUGUGGAGGUCACAGAAGAGGCUUCGGUGUUGCCACUGUCCACUUCCAAGUAGUGCCUGUAUGUUGCACAGAACCAUCUGUAAACCAGGCAUGAGUUUUCUCUUCCUCAGUCAAUCAUAAGGAACUCCUCAUGAGGCCCUAGGUGCAGGCUGGGAUAAUGAAGGUAAAGUGACAGGAGUGUGGAGCUUGGGCAUUUGGGUGCUUCCUCAUGUAACUUACUUGUGCCUUAAGGUCCUGUUUGAGACUGAUCUCUUAUAUACCACUUCCAUUUAAUAAUGAAGUGCUGCAGGACAUGUCUGAUAUGGCUCUGUGGAUCAGACAACAACGAGAUCAUGAUGGACAGCUCAGACCACAUGGUGACUUUGUGAUCCAUGGUUAUCUGCAGGGGAUUUGUGGACUUUGCUCUAAAAUCCUGAGGGUCUGUACUGUGAUUCAUCAAUAGGGACCUGACAGAGACUUCAGACAACCUCACGAUCUACCACUGACACAUCAAGAACCACUAAAGCAACCAGAUCAUAUGCCCCAAAUGGAAGAGCGGUUUGCAUGAGAGACUUCAGGCUUGCAGAGCCUUCUCUUGUUCUGAACCCCACUCAGAGCUAGAAGCUUUUUGAGUCACUUGAUAAAUAGGUUGGAGUAGCACACCCAAAUGAGGAAUAUGUUCCAUCUGAAACCCAAACAGUUCCAUCAGGCAUUAUGCCUCCUUUUUAGUUGUAGGAGGGGCCAUAUCUAAUAACCUAUUCUUUACUGUAAAAGGAAUAUCUUGACAUGCUCCACACCACUGGACCCCUAGAAAUUUCACUCAGGUGGAAGUUGCCUGAUUUAUUGUCAAAUUAAAUUCCCAUCCUCUAGCACACAAGUGUCUUAUCACUAAGCAUAGAGUUGUUGAUAUUUUUUCCUUACUAGGUCCAAUCAGCAUAAUGUCAUUAAUGUAAUGGACCAGUACAACAUCUUGAGGAAGGGAAAGGUGUUCAAUUUUCCUGGGGACUGAAUUACAACAUAAGAUUGGAGAGUGAUAUACCUCUGAGGUAGGACAGUGAAGGUGUAUUGCUGCUUUUGUCAGCUGAAGGCAAGCUGCUUCUGGUGUUCCUGCAAAACUGGAAUCAAGAAGAAGGCAUUGGCCAGCUCAGUAGCUACAUAUCAGGUACCAGGAAAUGUAUUAAUUUGCUUAAGCAAUGAAACCACAUCUGGAAUAGCAGCUGCAACUGGAGUCACCACCUGGUUAAAUUUACAAUAAUCCUCUGUCAUUCUCCAAAAUCCAUCUGUUUUUUUGCACAGGCCAAAUAGGUGAAUUGAGUGGGGAUGAGGUAGGAAUCAUAACCCCUGCAUCUUUCAAGUCCUUGAUGGUGAUACUAAAAUCUGCAAUCCCUCCAGGUAUGCAGUAUUGCUUUUGGCUUACCAUGGGUGGGUCUGUGGAUUUAACUUGAUAAGUCUACUCUAACAUGCCAAUUUCCCUGAGCUUUUGAAUACCUUCUGCAGUAUACCAAAGUAGGUCUUGCAUUUCAACAUGAUAUAGUGUAGGCAACCGCUUAAUCUAUGGUUCGGUUAUUAAAUCCUUUCCUAACCUCUCAUGCUGAAACAUUGAAUGAGGGAUCUGUAGUGGGUCCAUAUCAAUAAACUCAGACUGAUUCAACUUUAUGUUGCUUGUUUCAUUAUCCCACUCCCGUAAUAGUCAUUUCCACACAUAUUCCCAAGUUUCUGUUUGUACAUAUUAGAAAAAUAAAACAGUUCUUCUGAGUAUAGUGUACCUCCUCCUGGGUCGCGCUUUGUACUUCACUUCUUGGGGCUCACUGGGACUUAAGUCUAGUUAUAGGUCUAGAAGAAAACCUGAUCUUGGGGGUGGGUCCUGGGGACAUUUAACAAUGUCUUGUAAGGCAUCUAUCUCAGGCAGUGCCUCAGGCAAUGCCCCAGGUGCUAUCUUAGGCAAUGUCUCAGGCAAAGACUCUUCAGGCACAGCUGGGUUAAUCUCAUCAAAUAGCCAUGAAAAGGAUAAUGGUUUUAAUGGGCAGGGUGGCUUAGCAGACAAAGAUGGAGUAAUCUCUUCAGAGGUGAGUAAUAGGGUUGGUUCUGUUGGCAGGAGUGAUUCAAUGGAAUUUAGUUGCUCAAUGUCCCCAUCUUACAGAUUAUCUGCCCAUAUAUCCCCAUGCCAAGUUUCAGGAUCCCAUUUCUUCCCAAUCAAUACCCUCACUUUAAAUUCAGACACCAUUCAAGGUUGAGAAUUCAGUUGGCAUUGUAAUUCAGCCACUCUUAAGACUUUGGGUUUGUUUUUUGGCAUUAUAAGCUUUGUUACUACAAGAAAUAAGGCUUUCUUUCAGGGCAUAAAUGGCAAUUCUGGGGUCCUUUAUGAGGCUUUUGAGCUGGGACUCUGAAUCCUUGAUCUCAUCUUUUUCUUUCACCACUUUGUCUAGCGAAAGCAGAACCAACCAACCAGCCUCCCUACAUUUCUCAUUGUGACAAAAUUGCAGAAAUGUAUCAAAUAUGCAAUCACCCACAGCCUUGUUUCUCAUAAAUAUUUGAGCCAUUGGCAGUGAUAUUUUGUAUAUUUCUAUUGCCAUCUCAC